rnacentral:rRNA from 1 species
UGUGCUCUUCCGAUCUGUUGUCAUAUGCUUAUUUCAAGGACUAAGCCAUGCAAAUGUAAGAGUACCUGUGCUUCGGUACAGGGGGGUCUGUGUACGGCUCAUUAUAAGGUUAAUAGUCUACCCAACUAAGGACGUUUUUUUGACGUUCCAACGGGAUAACUGUGCUAACUGUACAGCUAAUACCACGGGAGAAGAUUCCGCGACCAUUCAACCAGUGACGGGGGGAAACCUGCCGCGCUGGGGUCUCGGAAGCUGUUGGCCGAAACAAAGACCAACGCCGCUCAAACGGCAGGUGCAAUUGUUGACGCAGGCCAACGAAGCAGAAGCGCAAUGGUUUACCAGUGCGCGUUGUUGGACGAAUUCACCACCUAUCAGGUUGUAGGUAGUGUAGUGGACUACCUAGCCAUUGACGGGUAACGGGGAAUUGGGGUUCGAUUCCGGAGAGGGUGCCUGAGAAACGGCAACCAUGACUACGGACAGCAGCAGGUGCGCAAAUUGCCCAAUGCUAACACAAUAACUAGCGAGGCAGCGACGAAAAAUAGCAUUCCUACCGGCUUCGCCGUUAGGGCUUGCAAUGGAUUGUAUCUACAAACACUGCUGAAAACCAUUGGAGGGCAAGUCUGGUGCCAGCAGCCGCGGUAAUUCCAGCUCCAAUAGCGUAUAUAAAUGUUGUUGCGGUUAAAAAGCCCGUAGUUGGAUUUGAGGAUCUUGUCCGCAAGCUGACUCCAUGCUGCUUCGGUAGUGUGGUCCAUCAGCGAGCAUUAUGGCAAGGUUCUGAGACAUGUGGGAACGUCCACCGUCAGCGUGUGCGGGUGAAUGCUCUGUACACGUUGGCAUAUAAAGCGGAGAGUCAUCUUUGAACACUCCGUAAGGUGCGCCCGCAGCCGUCACUGUGAACAAAUCAGAGUGCUCAAGGCAACCAGUAUGAAUGGUUGAAUGCUAAAGCAUGGAAUGACAAGGGAUCGACCUCGGAUGGCGUCUUUUGUUGGUCUUUGCGCCUCUUGCGGCCCCUUUGGGGUCCGAAGGAGAAUUUUUGUGGUUUAGCACCCUCAGGGCUCGAGUUCUGCUCGGUCUUGUGGGGCGGCCACAGCACGGGAUAAAUAGGAUCACGGGGGGCCCUCGCUACUGGCGGGCUAGUGGUGAAAUACAUAGACCCCGCCAAGAGCAACAUCAGCGAAAGCAGUGGGCUAUCGUGCUUUCAUUAAUCAAGGACGAGAGAUGUGGGAUCAAAGAGGAUUAGACACCCUCGUAGUCGCUUCUGUAAAUUCUGCAGGCUCGGGAUCGGUCACGGCUCUAUUUUAUUGACCUGAUCGGCACCUUCUCCAUUUAUCGGGAAACCAAAGCUUUUGUGUUCCGGGGGGAGUACAUUCGCAAGGCUGAAACUUAAAGGAAUUGACGGAGAACCACCACCAGGCGUGGAGUGUGUGGCUUAAUUCGACCCAACACGGGAAAUUUUACCAGGCCAGGACGUGAUUAUGAUUGCCGGACUGAUAGCUCUUGCAUGAUUUCGCGAAGGGUGGUGCAUGGCCGCUUCUGGUUGGUGAAGUGAUUUGUCUGCUUAAUUGCGUUAACGAACGAGAUCUCUGCCAAUUAAUAGAUAGUCACUCCGUUUGUAGGUAGAGGGCCGCCAGUGGGGUUUACUUCGCUGGAGGUGGGACUUUGUCCCUAAUUCUUUACUGAGGAGAGGCAGAAAAGCCUUCGGGCGUUUACUUAUUGGGAUUAUGCAAUCAUCCAAUUGCAUUGAAACAAGAGCCCAAAGCAGGUCUGUGAUGCUCCUUAAAUGUUCUGGGCUGCACGCGCACUACACUGAUUCAGCCAACGAGCUUCUGCUGAGACCGCUUGCGGUUCUCUGGCAGCCUGGUCCGAAGGGAUUGGGGAAUCUUUUGAGACUGAGUCGUGAUGGGGAUUGAUGCUUGUAAUUAUUCUCCAUGAACGAGGAAUGCCUUGUACUCGCGUCUCAUCAGGACGCAAGGAAUAUGUCCCUGGUUCUUGUACACACCGCCCGUCGCUAUCUGUGAUGGGUUUCACGUAGAGCACUUUGGAGGAUCGGGACUCGGGCAACCGGGUUCUCGGCCGAAAUUGUGCAAUACUUGGAAUCUAGAAGAGAUAGAAGAUCGGAAGAGCACA